GAUGAAGAACGCAGCGAAAUGCGAUAAGUAAUGUGAAUUGCAGAAUUCAGUGAAUCAUCGAAUCUUUGAACGCACAUUGCGCCCGCCAGUAUUCUGGCGGGCAUGCCUGUUCGAGCGUCAUUUCAACCAUCAAGCCCCCGGCUUGUGUUGGGGACCUGCGGCUGCCGCAGGCCCUGAAAAGCAGUGGCGGGCUCGCUGUCACACCGAGCGUAGUAGCAUACAUCUCGCUCUGGGCGUGCUGCGGGUUCCGGCCGUUAAACCACCUUCAUAACCCAAGGUUGACCUCGGAUCAGGUAGGACUACCCGCUGAACUUAAGCAUAUCAAUAAGCGGAGGA
rnacentral:misc_RNA from 1 species